rnacentral:rRNA from 1 species
GUGUCAGCAGCCGCGGUAAUACAGAGGGGGCAAGCGUUGUCCGGACUUACUGGGCGUACAGCGCGCGCAGGCGGUCGUCGACGUGCCGUGUGACAGCCAUCGGCUCAACCGAUGGAGGCCGGGGUACACGAGACGACUGGAGGCAGAGAGAGGGAUGUGGAAUACCUGGUGGAGCGGUGAAAUGCGUAGAGAUCAGGUGGAACACCAGCGGCGAAGGCGGCAUCCUGGCUCUGUCCUGACGCUGAGGCGCGAGAGCGUGGGGAGCAAACCGGAUUAGAUACCCGGGUAGUCC